GAUCAGAAUGCCACGGUGAAUACGUUCCCGGGCCUUGUACACACCGCCCGUCACACCAUGGGAGUGGGUUGCAAAAGAAGUAGGUAGCUUAACCUUCGGGAGGGCGCUUACCACUUUGUGAUUCAUGACUGGGGUGAAGUCGUAACAAGGUAACCGUAGGGGAACCUGCGGUUGGAUCACCUCCUUACCUUAAAGAAGC
rnacentral:rRNA from 2 species